rnacentral:lncRNA from 1 species
GUUUUGACUUGCUCUGUUGGGCUCAAGUUAGUAGUUUAAUGGCUAUCCACAAAUGUUUGCACAAAAGGCUGGGUUGCCUGCUUGUGCAAACCUUUUGCAAUAGUUAAUCUUUAGUCAGUAAAUCAUGUUUUGGGAGCAGAAAUAGUGACUAGCAAGUAGGCAGUGACACAGAGCUCUCCUCAGCUGUGCCAGAAGAUGAGCUGGAACACGCAUGUUCUCCUGUGGCCAUGGUGGAUAUGGGCAGAUCAUCUCCCACCUCCUGGCCUGUGACACAGCUCCUCCUGGGCAUGUUCAGCAUCAAGUUACAACAUAAAACCACCAAACCCUUGAAGAUUAUGUGAGAGCUAUAGUUUGAUGAACCAUUAAAUCAGCUUCUGCGGACAACAGAGUCUCUAACAAGAACCAC